UAAUCCCUUCCUCAGGAGAAUCAUUUCUAUAGUAUUCGACCUACUCUGGGUUCUCCAAAAGAGCCACAGAUCCCACCCUGGUUGAUGAUUGAUAUCCUCGACACCCUAGAGUGAAUGGCUCUGGUUGCCCUCGCACUGCCUGCAAAGGUGGCGGCUCUUGCCCUUCUCGGGUGAGCUGUAUAAGAGGGCGUUUGAUGAUCUCGUCCCUGCUUCGCGGUCUUGCCCUUGGGCGCGCGGGCGGGGUGGGUGUUGACGGACGUCUGACAGGC
rfam:Verticillium longisporum isolate VL1 genome assembly, contig: scaffold_169